UACGUAGGGGGCAAGCGUUGUCCGGAUUUAUUGGGCGUAAAGAGCGUGUAGGCGGCCAUGCAGGUCCGUUGUGAAAACUCGAGGCUCAACCUCGAGACGCCGAUGGAAACCAUGUGGCUAGAGUCCGGAAGAGGAGAGUGGAAUUCCUGGUGUAGCGGUGAAAUGCGCAGAUAUCAGGAGGAACACCGGUGGCGAAGGCGGUUCUCUGGGCCUUACCUGACGCUGAGGAGCGAAAGCAUGGGGAGCAAACAGG
rnacentral:rRNA from 1 species